GCAGGUCCGGGAUUGGACCACGGGCCCAGCCGGGACGAAGCCCCGGGCGCCCAGGCCGACCCGCCAUUGGCCUGGCAUGCGCGGGUCGGCUGGGGGGUCCUCGUUUUCACCGCAAGUGAAACCUUGGCGAUGAACGCGGAUUCUUGGUGCCUGGCUCCCUCUCCUAGACAAAAUGAGUCUUCCCUGAAGCUUAAACCAUAUUUCCUUCCUUCUUUUCUCCCUCCCUUUUGGACACCCCUUAAUGACAGGCUCUAAUCCUCGGAUCGGAACUAGUACUUCUGCCUGAAGACUGGGCCGGCUUUGCCUUUCCUCUCAGAGGUCCCGAAAAGCCAAUCCGUUCUGAGCUACACUGACGGAGGGGCUGGAGGAGGAAGGUUACUUUCAACUUCUGGCACCACCUGGGUGGUCGCCAUAAAGAAUACUCUACUGAAGUCAAGCAUAAUCCACACAGAACAACAAAGAACAACAACAAC